UUCAAAGAAAAUAUAAAUAUUAAUUUUUAGGUUAAGUAUAUCAAUGAUCACUUCACUAACGUGAAGUUAUUCACUAAGUCGAAUCGAAACGAUUCGGAUGAGAAGCGAUUGGUUUGAGGUUAGAUUUUCACAGUAGAUGGCGCUCAUAGGCAAAAUUAUGCAUCUCGUAGCGACAAAUCCUAGCGUCACGGAUCGUAAACGGAUCAGCGUAAUUUACGAUCACGAACGCAUCUAAUUCCGAUCGCACCUGUUCGAUCAAUAGAACGAUUGAUUUAUCGAAAUCUACGUAAGAGGACAAUGGCACCAACCAACGAUAAUAAACCGUUCCAUUGUUUAAUAGAGGAAAUCGCAUAGGUUAAAAUAAAUUUUUGCACGAAAUGUUCGUUUCAUUAUGGUUAAACUGCUUCCAAGAAAUGAGCUUUCAUCGAAGAACAGAAUAAAAAUAAAAUUCUGGAAUUGUUCAAACACAAAACAUGAAAGAAAGUAUAGUUAGAUGGAUGAUAAUAGCUGAAAUUAGAGCGAUAUCGAAGAACAGAGCUAGAUUAACCUUUGAAAUUUAGAAAUUCACGAAAGUAACGGAAAAUGAGUGGAAGAAGGAAAGUAUCGACAAUUGCAGAAAUCGAGAUAACCACGAUCCUGGCUUCGAAUGCGCAGGAAGCCCGAUAAUAACCGGAAGUGCACCGGGACGAGUCCAUUACCAACCUGUCCUGAAAUGCUGGGCUCGUUUCGCUCGGUCCCUGAAAAUUAGCAACGACUAACGAGCCCCGUUAUCUCCAUACCGAUUUCAUCGUGCGAGAUUCGCAUUUCUCAUUUAAUUUCCUUCUUAAGCUGAAGAUUAAACUCGAAACUCGAAAACUUUGGUUUUCGAAAAAUUUGAAAUUUCUUAUUGUAAAUAUCGGUUAUGUAUAGUUUAAGAAGUAUUGAGGAAAUAAGUUUAUUAAAUUAAAAUUUUAAACAUGAUUAAAAUAUGUAUUUAAUAUGAAUGAUAAUUUGAUCAAUAUAUAGAUUUAUCUUAAUCUAUAAUUGUCUUAAUCAAUAUCAAUAUAAAUUUGUUUUAAAGCUGCGUUAGAUUUAUAGGAUCUUCAAAAACUUGAAAUAUCUUCGAUUCUCGUGAAAUAAGAGCAACAAGUGGCGCAUGGUAUUUAUUAUCCUUCUGUUUGCUCGAAGUUCUUCCAGCUGACUAAUGCGACGCUUCACUACUAGACGAGUCUGUCAGUAGUAAAGGUCGACGCUCUAUCGAACGAUCUGAGUAGUCGCGGUACGCCUCGUGUCAGGCUGCCGCUAGUGAUGGUUAACGUUUUAAGGUCAGCCAGACGACGGCUGAUUGAAAGCUGAAUUAUUGAAAUAGCAACGAUUCAUCUUCGAGCAUGCAGAAUUUAUUCAAAUUGAAAGAGACAUUAAUCCUGUGAAUCGUACAUGGUGAGAAAUUCAUAUUAAAAAUAAAAUAUUACGAGAUUAAUUAUAAAUUAUUAUUAAUAACGAAUAGAAU